rnacentral:piRNA from 1 species
GGCAUUUCGUGGUGAGCAGCAGGUCCUUC